AUGCACUUGUGGCCAAACAAAAGAGGAAACAAGGCGUCCUGGAAAAGCAUGGAGUGGCCUGGAGCAGCACCGAUCCCGUCAACGCAGCGGGUCUCCUCCCGUUGGAUGUAUAGGAGGCCAUCCAUGGAGGUUGAGGCCGCGACAGCGACCGACGAACUGAAGGAGGCAACGUCUCGGCUCCUGCAGCAAAAUGACAGCGAGGUGGAGAAGGGGCCGGUAGGCAGAAGAGGUCGCGAGGAAUGCAGGGGCCGCAAGCGAGCUCACUCAGGGAGCUCCUCGGGUGCUUCUGGUCGGGGUCGAAGCUGA
rnacentral:rRNA from 1 species